GGGAUAUCAGACUUGUUUAAUAAAUAAAUAGACUGUCUUUGCACAGGAUUUAGGCUACACACCAUUCUGCUAAACUCUUUCCAAUCUCGUCUGCCAAAAUGAAAAGUGUAAUUGUGUACAUCCCGACCUUCAAAGCUGAAAGGAAAUGAGAAUCAGGGCUUGGCUAGAACCUUGUACAAUAUGGAAAGAAGCAGGCUUUCACAAACAACGAAAUAGCAAUCAGAUGCAGCCACUAAAACAAAUUUACAUCUGCUCACAUUCAACAGGGUCACAAAAAUAC